UGAAUUUGCAAACAUUCCAAUCCGCAUGGUACCCCCCUCCUUAUCACGGAACUUCUAACGAAUCUUGGGAAAAUCAAAUUUUACUCAGAUUUACUCGUCUGUCGUCUACCGCACAUAACCGAACAUAAUGUCUGACGAAGAGAAAAAUCCUCCUAAACAACAUGGAACUUUUUUUAUUUUAUUUAAUUGGUUACUUUUCUUUACGUUCUUGCGAUGUUAUAUGCCUCGAAUCCUGCGAGCCUUGUGGAGAAUGCUUAGAUGAGUAAAUAUUUGCACCUACAUCAAAUAUAACAACAGUCGACAUCGAGAAUAUCAUCUGCAUCACUUUCCGAAAGAAGACACUCCCCAUCAUAAGGAUUGAAUUUGAAAAGUUGGUAAUCUCUUCCUGAAAUAUUAUACCUGCGACUCUAAGAAGCAUGGAUGCCCGUGGCGAUCAUUGUUUACCCGAAAUCAUCAAAUAAAAUCAUACAAAAAAUACGAAUAGAAGAGAAAUCAUACUGUAUCCGAACAACCAAUAAAUUUAUUACAAAAUAAAAGAUAAAGAGAAGAUGUACAAGAAAGACAGCACGUUAUCGAAAAUCGGCUGAUCAGAAAAGAAGGGCAACA